GGGUUAUAUCUUGCACUUCUCCCCUCUUCAACAGCCGCCGGAGAAGGAUGAGGAGCCACAGGAUUCAGGAACAAAGAUCAAGCAAGAGAAUGAAGUGCAUGAAUCAUCUCCUCUUUCCAAUUCACCGAAGGAGGGUGUGCAGCCAAUCGGAGCGAGGAUCAAGGAUUUAGAUGAGUCGCAGUCGGAGUUGUUGUCUAGGAUUCAAGGGUUGAAGUAGAAUGUUCAAAGCUGGAGAUCACUGGUGGACACACAGCUAAAGUCAUACAAGGAUAUUAUGCGAAGGAGGAGGGCUACUAGAUCGAAUUUUAGCCAAGAAAGAUAGUCGUUAUACUGAAAAUGAUGCUGUGAUAGUAGUCCGCCAAAUGUUUAAAGUGGCAGCUGAGUGUCACUUGCAUGGUUUGGUGCAUCGAGACAUGAAGCCAGAGAACUUCCUUUUUAAGUCAACAAAAGAAGAUUCACCACUCAAAGCUACUGAUUUUGGUUAGAUUUUAUAAAGCCUGAUUCAAGGAGGAUAUGGAGCUUGAUAUUGCUAAAAUGAAGUUUGAUUUCAAGGGAACAUCUGUCAUAUGCAGAAGGGGAAGCCCUCUUAUUCUUGCUGAUUUGAAAAAGGUUUCUGUUUCAACGGCUCGUGCUGUGGUUGUCCUUGCUGAAGAUGGAAAUGCUGACCUGGUAAUUAUGUAGCAGAUCUCAAAGUUAUCCUAUACAAGUGAAAGCUAUGCAAGAACUUUUUUUAGGCAAUCACCUUCAUUGACUCCUCAAACUCGAGAACAUGUGCAGGACUAGGCUAUCCAUGCAAGAGUAGGAGAAGGGGUAGCUCGAGUCUUCUUUUGACGAUGAUUAGAGAUAAAAGAAUGUCUUCCCUAAACUU